UACGUAGGGUGCGAGCGUUGUCCGGAAUUACUGGGCGUAAAGAGCUCGUAGGUGGUUUGUCGCGUUGUCCGUGAAAACUCACAACUCAAUUGUGGGCGUGCGGGCGAUACGGGCAGACUGGAGUACUGCAGGGGAGACUGGAAUUCCUGGUGUAGCGGUGGAAUGCGCAGAUAUCAGGAGGAACACCGGUGGCGAAGGCGGGUCUCUGGGCCAUUACUGACGCUGAGGAGCGAAAGCGUGGGGAGCGAACAGG
rnacentral:rRNA from 1 species